UUAAAAUCCAGAUCAAUGGGAGUUAGACCCCUAAAUAUCUUUGAGGAUCUGGACUGAAUUCCCUUUCCUCUGCACAUCACUCCUGGCUAGCUUAGGGGACUGCUUGCUGGCUUCUGAGGAUCCCUUAUUAGGGUCAUCUAUGAAGGUUUUUAAGGAUCAGAGAUAAGCCUAAAGAGGUCACAGGAAUGAGGAAGCAGAGGCCUCUGUCCUAGGGCUUUCAGAGUGCCCAUGAAGCAGCUUUUCCUGAGAGAUGACUCCUGCCCCUUCAUCUCCUGUAUAACCCCCAUAGAACA